rnacentral:sRNA from 1 species
CCCUAGCCCUGAUAGCAGCGAAAAUCCUUUUUUACGGCUUUUUACCGAAAAAAAGAUUGCAGUGCAUAGCAGGAAAAAGC